CACGUAGGGUGCGAGCGUUGUCCGGAAUUAUUGGGCGUAAAGAGCGCGUAGGCGGUGUGUCGCGUCGGCCGUGAAAACCUGCAGCUUAACUGUGGGCGUGCGGUCGAUACGGGCAUCACUGGAGUUCGGCAGGGGAGACUGGAAUUCCUGGUGUAGCGGUGAAAUGCGCAGAUAUCAGGAGGAACACCGGUGGCGAAGGCGGGUCUCUGGGCCGAUACUGACGCUGAGGAGCGAAAGCGUGGGGGGCAAACAGG
rnacentral:rRNA from 1 species